rnacentral:rRNA from 1 species
UAUUGGGAUUCGACUAAGCCAUGCGAGUCGUGAGGGUUCGGCCCUCGGCGAACGGCUCAGUAACACGUAGAUAAUUUGCCCUUAGGUGGUGGAUACCCUCGGGAAACUGAGAAUAAUACUCCAUAGAUUUAGAAUGCUGGAAUGCUUUUAAAUUGAAAGAUUUAUCGCCUAAGGAUAAGUCUGCGGACUAUCAGGUCGUAGUUAGGGUAAAUACCUGACUAGCCUACGACGGAUACGGGUUGUGAGAGCACUAGCCCGGAGAUGAUAUCUGAGACACGAUAUCAGGCCCUACGGGGCGCAGCAGGCGCGAAAACUUCGCACUGUGCGAAAGCACGACGAGGGAAUCCCAAGUGCUGGCUCGUAAGAGUCAGCUGUUUCUUUGUCUAAAAAACAGAGAGAGUAAGAGCUGGGUAAGACGGGUGCCAGCCGCCGCGGUAAUACCUGCAGCUCAAGUGGUGGCCGCUAUUAUUGGGCCUAAAACGUCCGUAGCCGGUUCUAUAAAUGCCUGGGUAAAUCGUACGGCUUAACCGUACGAAUUCUGGGUAGACUGUUCAACUUGGGACCGGGAGAGGCUAAAGGUACUCCUGGGGUAGAGGUGAAAUUCUGUAAUCCUAGGGGGACCACCAGUGGCGAAGGCGUCUAGCUAAAACGGGUCUGACGGUGAGGGACGAAGCCCUGGGGACCAACGGGAUUA